rnacentral:rRNA from 1 species
AUUGAACGCUGGCGGCAGGCUUAACACAUGCAAGUCGAGCGGGGACUUCGGUCCUAGCGGCGAACGGGUGAGGAAUGCUUGGGAAUCUGCCCAGUAGCGGGGGAUAACGUUUCGAAAGGAGCGCUAAUACCGCAUACGCCCUACGGGGGAAAGGAGGGGAUCUUCGGACCUCUCACUAUUGGAUGAGCCCAAGUCGGAUUAGCUAGUUGGUGGGGUAAAGGCCUACCAAGGCGACGAUCCGUAGCUGGUCUGAGAGGAUGAUCAGCCACACUGGAACUGAGACACGGUCCAGACUCCUACGGGAGGCAGCAGUGGGGAAUAUUGGACAAUGGGCGAAAGCCUGAUCCAGCCAUGCCGCGUGUGUGAAGAAGGCCUCCGGGUUGUAAAGCACUUUAAGCGAGGAGGAAUGGCUCUGGGUUAAUACCCUUGAGCAGUGACGUUACUCGCAGAAUAAGCACCGGCUAACUCUGUGCCAGCCGCCGCCGUAACAC